AUACAGAAUACAGCAAUAACCUCCAAGAGGACAUUUAUUCAGAGACCUCGGGACACUUCAGAGAUACUCUCAUGAACUUGGUCCAGGGGACCAGAGAGGAAGGAUAUACAGACCCUGUGAUAGCUGCUCAGGAUGCAAUGGUCCUAUGGGAAGCCUGUCAGCAGAAGACGGGGGAGCACAAAACCAUGCUGCAAAUGAUCCUGUGCAACAAGAGCUACCAGCAGCUGUGGCUGGGUAAUUAUUAACUGGGUUUCGUUCCAGCUACUGACCAAUUAUAUAACAAAAAGAAGGUGGUUAACUGGAAACAAAAAUGAAAUAUUACAAGGAAAUAGCGGAAAGUCAGUUAUCUCAAAGGUACUUAUUUUGAAUUUUGUUUAUAAGAUGUGCCUUAUUUAAUGACAUUACUAAGGAAUAAAUAUUUCCUUAAUAUUUUUUCCAAUAACUUUCAAAAACUGAGCAUUUAAAAAAUAAUCUCUGUAUUUGAUGGAGUACUUAUUCAAAUAUAUUAGCUGUUUCCUAUUAGGUAUAUUAUAUGUUGUCUUGCAAAAUGCAUAGUAAAUAUAGU
rnacentral:sRNA from 1 species